CAUUUUACGUUGAAUGAAGAUACUGAAUUUCAAAGCUAGUACAGAAAUCUCUACACUACAGGAGAAGAAUAAAUCGUUGAUUCAGGCUUAUGAUCAUUUUAUAAAUACACGUUUAUAGUUUAUUCCAGUGUCAGGGCAUACGUCAAGUGUUAAUGAAAGCACAACGUGGCAUGAAGAGAGAAAACCGAACAAUAUAAAACCGAAAUAAUCUACAAGUUCACAAAUCUGUAACCAAAUUUUUGAAACUAGAGCCUGAAACAGCUACAAAAGGCAAAGAAUUUCGCUAUGAAUGCGAUCAAUGAGUAGGAGACGCUCCUGAAAGCACUCAAUCAGCGGGAUAUGGAAUACAAAGCAGUGAAACGUUUAACAACAAUACUGCUCACCGGAUGGAUGUAUUGCGCAAUCAACUGAAGGCAGUUCGGAAUACCUAAUGCAUACAAGAACAGAAGUCGAUUAUUUUGUCGAUAAAAGAAGAACACGAACAGAAAAUCGAAAAAUUAAAAAUUUAAUUGAAAGCAAAUGAAUAUAAAAAUACUAAUGUAUGCUUCCCACAUUGCUUAAUGGUUUAAAAAAUGUAUUAAUAAAAUAUUAAAUUUAA